rnacentral:rRNA from 1 species
AUUGAACGCUGGCGGCGUGCCUAAUACAUGCAAGUCGAGCGAAUGGAUUAAGAGCUUGCUCUUAUGAAGUUAGCGGCGGACGGGUGAGUAACACGUGGGUAACCUGCCCAUAAGACUGGGAUAACUCCGGGAAACCGGGGCUAAUACCGGAUAAUAUUUUGAACUGCAUGGUUCAAAAUUGAAAGGCGGCUUCGGCUGUCACUUAUGGAUGGACCCGCGUCGCAUUAGCUAGUUGGUGAGGUAACGGCUCACCAAGGCAACGAUGCGUAGCCGACCUGAGAGGGUGAUCGGCCACACUGGGACUGAGACACGGCCCAGACGCCUACGGGAGGCAGCAGUAGGGAAUCUUCCGCAAUGGACGAAAGUCUGACGGAGCAACGCCGCGUGAGUGAUGAAGGCUUUCGGGUCGUAAAACUCUGUUGUUAGGGAAGAACAAGUGCUAGUUGAAUAAGCUGGCACCUUGACGGUACCUAACCAGAAAGCCACGGCUAACUACGUGCCAGCAGCCGCGGUAA